AAUACAUGCCUCGAGCCCUUUCCAUGUAUAUUCUACACUAACUUCAUUGUUUCAUUAUUUUUCAAACGCUCAAACAUAUUUAUUAUAUUCAAAAAGUUUUACCACAAUCGAAGUUUAAUGAAACAUUUACCCUGUGUUUUCAAGAUAGAGCAGCUGAGCUAGAUUCUUGAUGUAGGAGUGGUAUGCUUUUCCUACCCCAGCCACUUUUAAGCUGUCCUCUACUAGGUAUUAGAAAGAACAAAUGAAUUCUGUUUGUCAGAAAAGAAAGCGCUGAGUGAAAAUUGCAGCCUUUGCUUCUAAUUUGAUUAUUUGCAGCACCCAAAUCUCGGCCCAUUUCUUAAAUAUGCUUACGCCAUCUAUUCCCACCAAUUAGGUAUGUCUUGAAUAUCUGGCUCAAUGUGUGCAAGCAUGAGGGCUUUCAUGUGGCAAGAUUCUAGCAAUAAGUAAGCAUUUUUCCUCUUUUUUUGUAGAUGGAACGCUCCUGAACACUUUUAAAACGAAAGGCUACUCCUUGCAAUACCUUCUCUCUAAAUCUGACAGUGUGAUGAUAGAUGAUUUCGCCGCUUCUUUUGUGAAGCAGUCAGAUGCACACUCUCCGUCAUAGCGAAACAAAAGUCUAUCAUUGGAUUCGUGCGACAAGCUAUGCGACAAGCUCUGAUUAAAUGCCUGCUAUAUUUGAAAGAAAGUCUGGAAAGGUACUCCUCUGCGCCAAAAGGAGCCUACUUCAUUUGGAUAUUAUUACCCUGCUUAUAGAAAUAAAACAAGGGAUUGUCGAUCAAUAAAAAUAAAUUAGUGAAUAAAUCAUUGAAAUGAAACGAAUCCACUUCUAAAAGUCCCUUUUUUUGAGCCGUAAUAAAAUUGUUUUUUACUCAUCAGCCAGCAAGACUGCAUUUUGUAUCCAUCUCCAUCCCUUAAAACUGGAAGUAGGUAUCCUUUUCCUUCUAAGGUAUAGAAUUAUAUCAGUAAAAGUAGUGCUAAGUUUUUAUUUAAAAUAUAAAUAAAAUUAUUUUCUUCUACUUUAAUUGAGUUGUAUGUACCUAUAAUCGUUUCAAAGUUUAACUUCUUUUUUUUACGUGGUUUGGUCUUCCUAAUUUACUCCUCACUCGAGCUGAUUUUGCAAUGCAAGCAUAGAUGUCAGAGAAAAGAGGCUCCGAGUUUGGUGAAAGUAAUACUAGCUAUUUGUAAGUCCUUAGACUCAGAAAUAAAAGAAUGAUUGUUUCUCAAUUUGAGUGAGUUUGUUUUUUUCCCUCCCUCCCUUAAAAUAGCCUGUGCCAUGGUAAUGGCAACCCAUCUCUUAUGGACUUUGACACUUUAGCUCAGUGACUUAGAGGGCAAGUGGAAUAAGAGUAGUUUUUGUUAUUUCAAGAAAUGUAUGUUUAAAGUUUCAAAAUCACGCAGAGCUCUAUUGAGGAAAGAAAGUUCAAACUUUGCUAGUUCAAACAAAGAUGCUAAAAAAUUGGAUUUUACUUAGUAGUGAAUUUUUCGUAUAAUAUAUUUUAAGACUAGUUUUAUGUGAAAUCAUUAAUAUCUCAAUUUUUUCAAGAACUGCACUUAUCCCACUUUUCUUCCAAGCCUCUCUACUUAAGUACCUAAUUUAUACUCACUGUCUAAGUUCAUAUCAAAAUUUUGGAGAAAAUCAUUCCUCCCUUGCCAGGUUCUGCAUAAUUUUGGCUUUCA
rnacentral:lncRNA from 1 species